UGCAAUAUACAAGCUUCCAAGCUUGGCGGAGUACUUGGCUAUGAUUUCUCCGAGUCUCAACAAGUUACAAGGAUUAUUAAAUGCAUGUUGGAUUAACUUUUACAGAUGGCUAGCUUUUGUCUGACUGAGAUUAUGGAUGUUACAGAACCAUCACUGGGAUUUGAGGGAGUUGAUGUGAACACCCAAGUUAUGGUAAUUUCUGAAUUAUUGUUGUUCAGCUUUAUUAGCUUUUCCUACUUCAACCUCUAAAGUUCUUACCUCAAGGACAAUAUUACUUGGCCUAAUGCCACUUUCUUUCAUCAACAUAAGCUUUUCUAAAUUCU
rnacentral:lncRNA from 1 species